rnacentral:rRNA from 1 species
CAGUCCCGCGGGAAUACGGAGGGGGCUAGCGUUGUUCGGAAUUACUGGGCGUAAAGCGCACGUAGGCGGCUUGGUAAGUUAGAGGUGAAAGCCUGGAGCUCAACUCCAGAAUUGCCUUUAAGACUGCCGAGCUAGCAGGUGAGAGAGGUAAGUGGAAUUCCGAGUGUAGAGGUGAAAUUCGUAGAUAUUCGGAAGAACACCAGUGGCGAAGGCGGCUUACUGGCUCAUACUGGACGCUGAGGUGCGAAAGCGUGGGGAGCAAACAGGAUUAGAUACCCCAGUAGUCCCUGUCUCUUAUACA